GACGGGGCCCGCACAAGCGGAGGAACAUGUGGUUUAAUUCGAUGAUACGCGAGGAACCUUACCUGGGCUCGAACGCGGGGGAAUAUAGGGGAAACCUUAUAGCUAGCAAUAGCCGCCUGCGAGGUGCUGCAUGGUUGUCGUCAGCUCGUGCCGUGAGGUGUCGGCUUAAGUGCCAUAACGAGCGCAACCCCUAUUGUUAGUUGCCAGCGGGUCAUGCCGGGGACUCUAACAAAACUGCCAGCGUAAGCUGUGAGGAAGGCGGGGAUGACGUCAAAUCAGCACGGCCCUUACGUCCAGGGCUACACACGUGUUACAAUGGCCGGUACAGAGGGCAGCUACCCCGUAAGGGGAUGCGAAUCUCUAAAGCCGGUCCCAGUUCGGAUUGAAGUCCGCAACUCGACUUCAUGAAGUUGGAGUUGCUAGUAAUCGCGGAUCAGCAAUGCCGCGGUGAAUACGUUCCCGGGCCUU
rnacentral:rRNA from 1 species